rnacentral:misc_RNA from 1 species
UGCCUCCCGUAGUCCUAGUCCGAUGCCGGUUCGCACGAGCGACAGUCGAAGCAACGCGGGGGUCAUGUACUUUUGGUGGUAGAGCGCCCUGACCGCCUAUCACGAUGGUGACCAACAGACGCCACCCGGAGGUCGUCUCCGAAUCCUUCAGACCGUCGCUCGAGAGCUCGGACCCCGAGAGCAGCGAAGCCUCGACGAACGAGGAGCGAAAGACUCCGUCGGCGUCCUUCAUCGGCGGCCUCCUGGUCUGCGUCGUUCUGCUCAUCAUCCUCGUCCUCGCCUACAGACACGUCACCAAGAAACCGAGUGAAGCCGGAGUACUUCCGCACGAUCCGCUCCAAAAGAACCUCGAACAGAAGCCGGAGACCGAAUUAAAGCGAUCGUCAGCGAGGGAAGCAGCGUCGACUACAACACCGAGAACCUUCGGCUUCGUAUACAACGUGCCGACUGCCAGGCCGGCUCCUCCGGCUCCAGUUCCAACCGACGACCGGCCAGUUUCCGCAAAAGAAACAACGAAAGGUGGAUGGGCAUUUCUUGGCAACCUGCUUACGACAGCGAAAAUUCCUGGGGAUGGUGGCACUCAAAGUUCAAGGCCAAACUCGCGUUGCCUCGUGGGCUGGCUACCGUGCGGCGACGGGAUGACCUGCGUGCAGAAGGAGAACGUGUGCGACGGCGAGCCGCAGUGCCCGGAUGCGUCGGACGAGCGCGACUGCAUUCGGCUGGGCUGCCAGAAGGACAUGUAUGCCUGCUCGGUGGACGGCGUGACGCGCUGCCUCAAGAGAUCUCUGGUGUGCGACGGCGUGGCCGACUGCGACGACCACGAGGACGAGAUGCACUGCAAUCAGACUGUUCUCAACGCGAGGCCUGGCUUCUUCGAUGACAGCCCCUUGGACCUAGACGACAAGAACGACGUUCCAGCCAUCAGGGACGUCGGUGGGCGGGGUGACUCCACUCUUCCCCCGCUGAGAAAUGGGACAGAGGCUCUGCCUCUGCCCGGUGUCGGCUAUCCGGGGAACUCCACGAAAGAGACUCGUCCCCCGCCACCGGUUCCUGUGGACGGAAAGUGCCGGCCGACCGAGUUCUCAUGCUUAGCGACCAAGACCUGCGUGCCGUCUCAGUGGCGCUGCGACGGUACCGCUGACUGCGAGGAUGGUUCGGACGAGGUCAACUGCACGCGGCGAGUGUGCCUGGAGCCGUUCGUGAGCUGCGCCGACCAGAGCAGCUGCGUUCUCAAGAAAAAGUUCUGCGACGGCAAGUUCGACUGCAAGGACCACUCGGACGAGCUCGGCUGUACGAAGUGCGCACCGCCGCUCAUCAAGUGCGCCACGGUGAACCGCUGCAUCGACAAGGCGGCCGUGUGUAACGGCAUCAACGAGUGCGAAGACCGCUCCGACGAGCAGAACUGCCGGCCACGGAAGUCGGUUCUGGCCGGAAGAGAUGCAAAAACAGCGGACUCGAGCGACUGUCGCAGUCGCGAGUUCACGUGCAAGUCGGGCCACGAGUGCAUCCCGAUGCGUUGGGUCUGUGACGGCAGCGAAGACUGCGAGGACGGAUCGGACGAGGAAAUGUGCCCCAGUUCGUCGCGCACCAACCAACUGGCCGGCCUUCGCCGUCGAAAUGGAAAAGCUCACCGAAGGCGAUAUUUCAUUAUCGACGACAAGGGAAACAACCUGCCCUUCCGUAGUGCUGGCAGUUUCAUACCUGAGGAUAAAGGAAGCCUGCCUUUACAGAAUGCGGACAAUUCCAUACCUGUACAAAACUCGCCGGUGUUUAUUCCGGUAAACAAAGGACCCAGCUCAGGAAAGACUGGCGAGCCAUCCGAACCGGUGGAAUACGAGGACGUGGACGACGAGAAGUUUCACGAAGAGGAGGCAGAUAGCGCGCUGCACACCGACGGCAAGAAGGGCCAGCACCGCGUAGUUGAGGGCAACGCCGAAGAAGACGACAUCUCGGAUUACCACGUGAGCGAGAAGGAAAAGAAACAAGAUCCGCCCAAAUUCAAGACUGCCACAUACCGGCCCGAGCCGUGCAAGGCGGAUCAAUUUCGCUGCAUGGACAACGGCGAGUGCAUCCCCAUGAAGUGGAAGUGCGACGGCAACGAGGAUUGCACCGACGGCUCGGACGAGAAGAAAUGCAAGAAAGUGUGCGAGCCCGCGGAGUUUUACGCGACCUGCGGGGACGGCGUGACGUGCAUUCCGAAGACGUCGGUCUGCGACGGUGUGGCCGAUUGUCCCGACAGAUUCGACGAGUCCAACUGUUAGGGCCUAUCUGUUCCCGAAGAGGACCGCCUGAAAUUCCCAGACUGCCCCGCGGACUACUUCAAAUGCAAAACAAACGGGAAGUGCAUCAUGAACAUCUUAGUGUGCGACGACGAGGACGACUGCAACGAUGGCUCGGACGAAAAAAAUUGCGUGAAGCAGUGCCCGCCGACCCACUUCCAGUGUGAGUCGGACAAGACGUGCAUCAAGCGAAUAUUUCGUUG